rnacentral:rRNA from 1 species
UGCCUCAGUAACGGCGAGUGAAGCGGCAACAGCUCAAAUUUGAAAUCUGGCCGCAAGGUCCGAGUUGUAAUUUGCAGAGGAUGCUUUUGGCGAGGUGCCUUCCGAGUUCCCUGGAACGGGACGCCAUAGAGGGUGAGAGCCCCGUACGGUAGGACCACCGAGCCUUUGUAAAGCUCCUUCGACGAGUCGAGUAGUUUGGGAAUGCUGCUCUAAAUGGGAGGUGUACGUCUUCUAAAGCUAAAUACCGGCCAGAGACCGAUAGCGCACAAGUAGAGUGAUCGAAAGAUGAAAAGCACUUUGAAAAGAGGGUUAAAAAGUACGUGAAAUUGUUGAAAGGGAAGCAUUCAUGACCAGACUUGGGCUUGGUUGAACAUCCGGCGUUCUCGCCGGUGCACUCUGCCAGUCCAGGCCAGCAUCAGUUUGCCCCGGGGGACAAAGGCGGUGGGAAUGUGGCUCUCUCCGGGGAGUGUUAUAGCCCGCCGUGUAAUGCCCUGGGGCGGACUGAGGAACGCGCUUCGGCUCGGAUGCUGGCGUAAUGGUCAUCAAUGACCCGUCUUGAAACACGGACCAAGGAGUCGUCUUCGUAUGCGAGUGUUCGGGUGUCAAACCCCUACGCGAAAUGAAAGUGAACGUAGGUGAGAGCUUCGGCGCAUCACCGACC